rnacentral:rRNA from 1 species
AUUGAACGCUGGCGGCAUGCUUUACACAUGCAAGUCGAACGGCAGCGCGGGCUUCGGCCUGGCGGCGAGUGGCGAACGGGUGAGUAAUACAUCGGAACGUGCCCAGUAGUGGGGGAUAGCUCGGCGAAAGCCGGAUUAAUACCGCAUACGACCUGAGGGUGAAAGCGGGGGAUCUUCGGACCUCGCGCUAUUGGAGCGGCCGAUGGCAGAUUAGCUAGUUGGUGGGGUAAAGGCCUACCAAGGCGACGAUCUGUAGCUGGUCUGAGAGGACGACCAGCCACACUGGGACUGAGACACGGCCCAGGCUCCUACGGGAGGCAGCAGUGGGGAAUUUUGGACAAUGGGCGAAAGCCUGAUCCAGCAAUGCCGCGUGUGUGAUGAAGGCCUUCGGGUUGUAAAGCACUUUUGGCGGGAACGAAGAGGACUGUGCCAAUACCACGGUUCGAUGACGGUACCCGCAGAAUAAGCACCGGCUAACUACGUG